rnacentral:rRNA from 1 species
AUUGAACGCUGGCGGCAGGCCUAACACAUGCAAGUCGAGCGGCAGCGGGAAAGUAGCUUGCUACUUUUGCCGGCGAGCGGCGGACGGGUGAGUAAUGCCUGGGAAAUUGCCCAGUCGAGGGGGAUAACAGUUGGAAACGACUGCUAAUACCGCGUACGCCCUACGGGGGAAAGCAGGGGACCUUCGGGCCUUGCGCGAUUGGAUAUGCCCGGGUGGGAUUAGCUAGUUGGUGAGGUAAUGGCUCACCAAGGCGACGAUCCCUAGCUGGUCUGAGAGGAUGAUCAGCCACACUGGAACUGAGACACGGUCCAGACUCCUACGGGAGGCAGCAGUGGGGAAUAUUGCACAAUGGGGGAAACCCUGAUGCAGCCAUGCCGCGUGUGUGAAGAAGGCCUUCGGGUUGUAAAGCACUUUCAGCGAGGAGGAAAGGUUGAUGCCUAAUACGUAUCAACUGUGACGUUACUCGCAGAAGAAGCACCGGCUAACUCCGUGCCAGCAGCCGCGGUAAAAC